CACGUAGUUAGCCGGCGCUUCUUCCCCACCUACCGUCACCCGAAGGCUUCGUCGGUGGUGAAAGGGGUUUACAACCCGAAGGCCUUCAUCCCCCACGCGGCGUCGCUGCGUCAGGCUUUCGCCCAUUGCGCAAGAUUCCCCACUGCUGCCUCCCGUAGGAGUCUGGGCCGUGUCUCAGUCCCAGUGUGGCCGAUCACCCUCUCAGGCCGGCUACCCGUCGUCGCCUUGGUAGGCCGUUACCCCACCAACUAGCUGAUAGGCCGCAAGCCCCUCCUCGACCGGAACCCCACCUCGCGGCGGAGAACCUUUCUGCCAAUCGGGAUGCCCCGACUGGCAAGUAUCCGGUAUUAGCCCCAGUUUCCCGGGGUUAUCCCGGUGUCGAGGGCAGGUUGCUCACGUGUUACUCACCCGUUCGCCGCUCGGAUACCUCCCCGAAGGGAGGCUCCUCGCUCGACUUGCAUGUAUUAGGCACGCCGCCAGCGUUCAUCCUGACGCCAGGAUCAAACUCU
rnacentral:rRNA from 1 species